GGAAUAUUGGACAAUGGGGGCAACCCUGAUCCAGCCAUGCCGCGUGUGUGAAGAAGGCCUUUUGGUUGUAAAGCACUUUAAGCAGGGAGGAGAGGCUAAUGGUUAAUACCCAUUAGAUUAGACGUUACCUGCAGAAUAAGCACCGGCUAACUCUGUGCCAGCAGCCGCGGUAAUACAGAGGGUGCGAGCGUUAAUCGGAAUUACUGGGCGUAAAGCGAGUGUAGGUGGCUCAUUAAGUCACAUGUGAAAUCCCCGGGCUUAACCUGGGAACUGCAUGUGAUACUGGUGGUGCUAGAAUAUGUGAGAGGGAAGUAGAAUUCCGGGUGUAGCGGUGAAAUGCGUAGAGAUCUGGAGGAAUACCGAUGGCGAAGGCAGCUUCCUGGCAUAAUAUUGACACUGAGAUUCGAAAGCGUGGGUAGCAAACAGGAUUAGAUACCCUGGUAGUCCACGCCGUAAACGAUGUCUACUAGCCGUUGGGGUCCUUGAGACUUUAGUGGCGCAGUUAACGCGAUAAGUAGACCGCCCGGGGAGUACGGCCGCAAGGUUAAAACUCAAAUGAAUUGACGGA
rnacentral:rRNA from 1 species